GUGAGAUAUAAAGUUGUGUAGCACUGGACAUCUUAUUGCUACAUUCACAAUGGUAUCCAUCUGUAGGGAAGUCAUACUCCUCUUGACUCUGAUCAGUUAUGGGACUUGUUCUGGGUCCAGCAGAGAAGAGUGUGGACAGACGGCUACCUUUACCAACUGUAAAUGUCAGGUUCAUUAUGAAUUCUCCAAGAAUGUGUCUUCUCGUUGGUUUGGAAUUUCGAACAGCAGUAAAGGGGAUUUGACGUGCAUAAAGGAUAAGCAUGGUACAAAAUCCUUCCUUAUCUACAGUAAACAGAACAUGACAGAGAGCUAUCUACUUCAUCUAGUGGAAUCACACGAGGAUAUUUUUAAGAAGUGUUUUAAUGAAACCAACCCUCUAGAAUGUCAUUGUCAACGACUUGAUGAUCCUGGAAUAUCUUCCAACGUUUCUUUCCUGCUGACCGGUCCAUCAGAUUGCAGCCAACAGACGACGACAGGCUCUCUGAUGUCAGACAGUACAACCGUGUCUGUGUGUCAAAGAAGUACGGAGGGACACAAUAAGACAAACAGUGAGACAGACAUCCAUACAAUGUGUGUUUGUCUGUGUGCAUGGGUGUGUGGGAUGUCCCGUUUGUUACCAAAUUUGCCCCUCUCUUCUUUUUUAUCUAGCUCUUUCGUUUUCUUGUUGACAAAUUUGAACGGGUACAAAUAUCAAUUUUUGGUCAAAACAAUGCAAGGAUGAAAAAUGUAAAGAAUGUAAAAGGCCCGAAAGGUAAAUAAAGUAAACUAAAUUAAUUAGAAUAAUUAACUUUUAAAUUUCAUGUAUAUUAUUAGUUACUGUUAUGUAAGAGAGUAUAAAUGCCGUUACUGGUCAAUGUUUUACAACAGAGUUUAGUUAUUGUAGAGAAUAUUGUCAUGUCAUGUAAGCUUAGAUGUUUACAGUGCAUAUGUACAUUACUGUUGAUUCUUCACAAGAACUAAUUAUCGCUUGCAGAAGCACAUAUGUGUUAAAGGAAAAUAAGUGAAGUGUAUUAAGGCGUGCUUACCUGACAAAUCCCCAAAUGACUUCUUGAAUGGCUGCGGUAGUCCGACAAGAGAACUAUGAUUGUGAUGAAUGUCACAUCUGAAGUUAGUAAUACCUUUAACUUGUUCAUAAAAAAAUCCUUUUGCUGUGUGUCCUUAUAUGUAAGCAAAGUAUGUUUAAGCUCUUCUUUUGUAAUAGAUCCUCCAGGUGACCCCUUUGUCGAAUGCCAUAACAAGUUCGUUGCUGAAGGAAAGUCACUGGAGUGUGUCUGCGAGGCUCGUUUUCCUGACAGUCGACCUGAUGACUUCUCACUGACAUGGCCGCCACACUCCAACAACAGCACGAUGAAAGUGAUGAAAGUCACUCGUGAAGAUAACAGUAUGGUCUUCACCUGUCUGAUGACAUGGUGCGGACAUAAGAGGACCACAAACUACACCUGCUCGUGGCCUAUGGCCCAGACAGCGAGCACACAGUGAUACAUGGUCCUAAUAAUUCAUUUAUCACUGAUGGGACACUGAGUCUUAAUUUAACUUGCCUGGCGACUGAGGUGUACCCUGCUCCACGAUAUACCUGGGACGGUCUCACCUGUCAGAAUAACGACUCUGACCAAGGGACCUGUGAGGUAAAGCCAACACCACCAGGUGAUGAUGGACGACAAGUAGAGUGCACAGCGAGAAGCACUGCAGGGGAUUACAAUAAGGGUACAGCAAGGCACAGGUUAUAGCCUCACAUAUCCACCACCAAAACCACCUCUCAUUAACAUCAAGAACCAGACAGUGGGAGACGGCGAUGUCAUUCACUGCAUUGUGUCGGAAGGAAAGCCGUUAGUGACGUCAGUUAACUUCACCUGUUUGACUGACCCCCCACACCACGAUCUGCCAGACACCAGGACAUCAUCAUCUGUGUUCAGUUCCUUGGUCAUCGACAGUACUAAGGUCAAAGAGAAUAUUACUGAAUGUGUCUGCCAUGCUGUCUGGACGCCGAAAGAAGAAUGGUAUUCAAACAGUUCAUCUGUCUUCCUCUUCAUACAAACACAUGACAAAGAUGAUUUAUAUUUCCAAGCGAUUAUUUUUGGAGCAUCUGGAGGUUGUGGUGCUCUAGUUAUUGUCCUCAUCAUCAUCAUUAUAGUCCUCGCCAGAAGUAAGACCCGCAGGAAAGACAUGAAAGAUGGUCGCCACAGCGCAUGGUACACCUAUGAACAUACAGAGGUAAGAGAUCCUCAGGGAACAAACGGGACUGAUGGAGACUACUUCACCCAUAGGUCCGCUAGAGGAAGCGUGAGAGGAUGGCGCUCAUAUACAGUCUCGCAGGUGAAUUCAGAAGCACAUGGACCACAAAACAAUGGCGGGACAUUUCUCGCAACAAGCCCGAGGACACUGGCAACCACUGAUAAAACUGUUUUGCAAGGAAAGGAGCUUCUCAGAGCUGCUCCAACAUAAACUUCUCACUCAAGCCUCCUGUAUCUCAGUGGCAAGGGGAUGAAAACAAUUACACAACUCAAGAGAUGGAGUAUCCUUACGAGGAAGAUGAGUACACUUACUCCGUAUUACGAGAGGAUGAGGGAGACACGUACGACAACAACUCAUCCCGUAUGCCCGAGUGUUUGAGGCAAGAGGUCAGCCAUUGUGAUAUAGAUAACAGCAACUGUCUUGCGGAAGAUGUUCUUGGGAAGGUAUUGUCCACCAGUAGCGAAUUCCGAGACAAUGAAAACAAUGGAACAGGACACACAUCGCCAUUUUUGAGUGGUACAAAAGACACGUCUAAAUUUUUGGACACACGAGCUGAACUAAUCAAGGUAUUGGAGACCAGAGCAAAGAACCUUACGGGCCAAUCAAAAACGAAUGUCAACAAAGGAAGUUUAGAAAACAUCUUCGUUGAACAAUCCAGGAGAAAACCGACUCCUAAACCCAGGGCCGAUCUUCUUGGAAGGAGGGUUUCGAGGAGCUGCUCCAACCUUUGCUUUGAACUACAGAAGCUGACGCCCACGCUGACGAGCACUGACGAUAAUGACGAGACAUGGGAGCGAGACAUGUCCACUGAUUAUGAUGACUGUUUCUUUACUCAGAUGCCAUCAGAGAGUAAAACAAACCCACAAGACGGGGAGAAUAAGUGUUGUUAUUUCACUCUCGAAGAAGACGAGUAUUCUACGGGGUAUGUCCCUUCAAAACAAGGGCAGACUACUGGACCUUUGGAUGGGCAGCGCGAGAGAAAGAAACACAUGAAGCCGCAUGGUUCUGCCACUUUACAACCUGGACAAGACAUGUUUGCUGAACUUAUCAAGAGAUUUGAGGGCACAGCAAGCAGCGCCACCAAUCAUACUUCAAACAUCAAAGGAAGCCUAGAAAACAUCUUGCGAGAACAAUCUCGGAAGAAACCAGCUCUUCUCCCUAAACCCGUCCUGCGUGGAAGAAGGUCUUCUCGGAGCUGCUCCAACCUUCUGCUUGGGAUCCAGAAACCGAAACCUUCAGAUGGCGAGAGUUGAACAUCAUCACGAGGCACGAAAGCGAGACAUGCCCAUUGGUUAUGAUGAAUAUUACUGUUCGCAGACAUCAUUCCACGGAUUCCUAGAUAAUGGCACAAUGUCCCGCUCGACCAAGAUUUGUCAACAGGC